rnacentral:rRNA from 1 species
GACGAACGCUGGCGGCGCGCCUAACACAUGCCAGUCGAACGAGCGAGCGAGAGCUUGCUUUCUCGAGCGAGUGGCGAACGGGUGAGUAACGCGUGAGGAACCUGCCUCAAAGAGGGGGACAACAGUUGGAAACGACUGCUAAUACCGCAUAAGCCCACGACCCGGCAUCGGGUAGAGGGAAAAGGAGCAAUCCGCUUUGAGAUGGCCUCGCGUCCGAUUAGCUAGUUGGUGAGGUAACGGCCCACCAAGGCGACGAUCGGUAGCCGGACUGAGAGGUUGAACGGCCACAUUGGGACUGAGACACGGCCCAGACUCCUACGGGAGGCAGCAGUGGGGAAUAUUGCACAAUGGGGGAAACCCCGAUGAAGCGACGCCGCGUGGAGGAAGAAGGUCUUCGGAUUGUAAACUCCUGUUGUUGAGGAAGAUAAUGACGGUACUCAACAAGGAAGUGACGGCUAACUACGUG